CUACGGGCUGCACCAGUGGGGAAUAUUGCACAAUGGGCGCAAGCCUGAUGCAGCCAUGCCGCGUGUAUGAAGAAGGCCUUCGGGUUGUAAAGUACUUUCAGCGGGGAGGAAGGGAGUAAAGUUAAUACCUUUGCUCAUUGACGUUACCCGCAGAAGAAGCACCGGCUAACUCCGUGCCAGCAGCCGCGGUAAUACGGAGGGUGAUAGCGUUGAUCGGAAUUACUGGGCGUAAAGCGCACGCAGGCGGUUUGUUAAGUCAGAUGUGAAAUCCCCGGGCUCAACCUGGGAACUGCAUCUGAUACUGGCAAGCUUGAGUCUCGUAGAGGGGGGUAGAAUUCCAGGUGUAGCGGUGAAAUGCGUAGAGAUCUGGAGGAAUACCGGUGGCGAAGGCGGCCCCCUGGACGAAGACUGACGCUCAGGUGCGAAAGCGUGGGGAGCAAACAGGAUUAGAUACCCGAGUAGUC
rnacentral:rRNA from 1 species